rnacentral:lncRNA from 1 species
UGGGAAAAGAAACUAAGACCAGGCAGGGUCUUAUGGUUGUGUUUGACCAUAAUGCCCCUGCUUCUGUCGAUUAAGUACUGAUGGUUGACGGCCCUCUUGUCAUGUUGAACGUAUGCCCCACACUUCGCUGGAAGGAUAAGUUGUUCCGACCGCGAAGCCUGAACACUAUCCGGGCCGGAAAUCAGCCUGAUGUACGCGCUGUAUUGGUGAUGGUUGGGGAGAACGAUGAGGGUGCGGCGCGCAACCUUAGUAUACCUUGGAUACCUCAGUCGCAGAACGGUCCUCGGGUACGGGCGGUGCUUGUUGAACCAGUGUAUUGGUCCUAGAUAGUGUAAUACGGUGACCUGUAGCUUACUUGAUCAAUGAGUGUGGUUUGUGUGGGGAAUAACUCUCCAGCUGGUCAGAAAUCGUUCGAAUCGCCAUCGCUCCUAGAUAGUGAGCACUUGACUUGAGCUUUGUCUUCAUAGUAAGGACUAUGAAACACUCUAGUUAUGGUAUGUGACGAAUGGAAAUGCUAUAUGAUAUGGUACUAUAAUGUUUAAACAACUAUUUGCAAUAGUAUAGGUGCCAACUUAGAUGGUAGGUAAUGAUACUUAACUGGAGCCAAAUAAAUGCAAUGGGUUCUUAGGAACAUACUUCUAGAUGGUUAAAGCUUUUACGCAAUAAGGGUUGAGCUAUCCCACUAUACAGCCUUCAUGAUCCUUGAGAGUCUUUCAUUUCUAGUUCAUGAUGGGUAAGACUAGCUGAGUACAUUCUCGUACUCAGGGUUCUAUUCUCAUGUUGUUUUGCAGAUGGGCAGAAAUACUAUGGGUAUUGCAUCAAGUGUUUGUACCUAGCAAUGGGUGAUAACUACACCAAUGGCUAUGGUCACUAUUCUCAUAUAUAUUUUUUAUUUUAUUAUUUUAUUUUUUAGAAAAUGAUUAAGCUAGUUCGUAGUCAAGUUAGCAACCGUUUUCCCUUCAACGGCGCCAAGAAGCUUGUUGACACUUGCUAACACCACUUGAAUACUAGGUUGUCAUCCCUAGCAUGGCACUAGAGUGUACUAUGGUAUUUAUAGGCACACAGAUAAAUCCGCAAGCGCACGGAUACUGUUGUAGCUUUUACCCGGUUAAAGGUUUUAUCGUAUCCACAGGGAAACGGGAGAACUGAUCUACGCUCUAACUUAUCCUAGAUAGAUAGGUAGGUGUAAAUAGGAAAGAUGGUAGAAUUGAAUAAGUACAAUAUUAAAGGUAAGAUAACAAUGGGUGAUAAUAUGGGAAUAGAGAGUAGAGCAAUCUAGUAUAUGUCUGGGACGAACCACGUGAUAAGAAUACACCACAAAGAAUGCUUAUCCAUAGGCCGAUAAACCCUACCCGUCCUGCUAACAGGAGGUGGACUACAGGGGACCAACGUAACUGUCACCUACGCGGCCUACCACACGAUCCAAAUAGACAAGGGAUAUCCACAAGUAAUCUAGGUCUAAGCACCACACUUACACCUAUACUACAACUCUAACCUAUAGGGUCCUAGAGAUUAAAAGUACUCAAAAUAGUUGUGAACCAGAACAGACAUGGAUAGUAAUUGCAUAAUGAAAUAGAAGUAAAUUACCAGAGUCAUCCCAUGAGCAAGCUUGAUUAGAGCUUGAUCAGGGCGAAGUACAACUGGUGGAAGAACCGAUAGGCUGACCUCUCCUCCAAUCCUCCCUCGCUCUCUAUCACGCUACUAUCUAGAUCUACUCUAGUUUAGAGAUGAGAGGAGAGCUCUUAUCUCCAAACCCUAGCUUUUGCUCUAUCUAUGUAGAGGAAAGGUUAUCCUUCGAGGGCACCUCUCAACUCUACAAUCAACUUGUUCUCCUCCAGGGGCCAGGGGUCUACUUAUAUAGUCCCCUCAAGUGAAUCUGGGUCGUCGGAUCAAACCGACAUUGAUUGAACGGUUAUCCUUGAUCCUUUAGGUCGGUGGAGCGUAAUCCGCGAGACGGGUCCUGAUUGGACUCUAACUCAGGGCGGGCGCCCUAGGGGGGAGGGCGGGCGCCCUGCCCCCAGGCCCGAUUGCCUUCCCGUUCGUUCCCGUGGCUUCUGGAGUCUUCUAGAUGAUAGAAAAUUGCGCGGCACGUUAAUAUCUUGUUUAAUUCAUAACUUGAGUUCCAGGGCUCCAAAAUUGGUGAAAUAGAUUUUGACAUGUUCCAUAAAUCAUGAUCUACAGUUUGGUACCAUUUUAUGUCAUGUUUGAACAUUUUUUGUGUGUAGUUUUAUUUAAUACGUGUAAAUGCUAUUUCUUAGAAAAUGAAUGGAAAAUAGAAUAUGCCUCAGAAAAAUAUGAUUCUUGUUUUACUAGCUUUGCAUGGCUGUGUAGGUACCGGGAAAAAUAUAUAGCACAAUAGUUGCUGUAUAAAUUAAAUUAUGUUGAUAUAAAUGCUUGCUUGGCAAUGGUUUAUUGUUUUUAAUAAAUAAUCUGAUCAUGCAAUUAAUCUGGUAAUUUUUGUAUGUCUUUCUUAUGUUGAGAAGUAAUUUAGAAAAAUAUGAAAUCUGUUGUUUGACACUUUGGCACUAGUACGGUAUUUUCCCUUAAUUAUAUUAAUAAACUUGUGAAUUUUGUGUGGGCCAUGUUUUCUGCCCAAAUGCUAUGAAAACUUAGUGUAAUACGGUGACCUGUAGCUUACUUGAUUAGUGAGUGUGGUUUGUGUGGGGAAUAACUCGCCAGCUACUCAGAAAUCGUUCGAAUCGCCAUCCCUCCUAGAUAGUGAGCACUUGACUUGAGCUUUGUCCUCGUAGUAAGGACUAUGAAACACUCUAGUUGUGGUAUGUGAUGAAUGGUAAUGCUAUAUGAUAUGGUACUAUCAUGUACUACGGGUAUUGCAUCAAUUGUUUGUACCCAGCAAUGGGUGAUAACUAGACCAAGGGCAGUGGUCACUCUAUCUCCUCUUUUGCUUUUGUGAGAAUGAUUAGUCUCUGGCACUGUAAUGAACUAAGUGUUUGAGUGUGGUUUCAAACUAGAAUGCUUCCGCUACUAUCAAUCUUGGUGAUCUUUCCAACCAUAUAUGCCAUGCACCAUGACACGUUGUAGAUUGGUACAGUUUUGAACAAAGAUUUGUACCAAUGUCCUCACGUGACAGACUUGGACUUCUAGAGCAGUCUUCACCAAACUGACCAUAUCUUGAGCGUAAGAUACCCAAAAUAUAUGGAACUUCUUGCAUUCAAAUGUAGACUUCUUAAGCUUUCCAAAGUGUCCUCAUUCACCUUCAUAGCUUUCGGUAAUCUAAAGUUAUGACAUGUUCUUUAGAGUGGUCUGUUUGGACGUCUGAACCAUCAGCACUGAUCUGAUCGGGCAUCUGAACAUGUUGGUUCGAUUCCUCCUUAUUGGGCCGAUCCUCAUGGUCCAUUUCAUCCUUUUCUUCAUAUGUAUUCCUGAUUACAAUCAACAUAGAACACUUAGGUAGUAUAACAUUCUCAGAAGUAUUAAAACUGAAAUCAACUAGGGAUGAAUUCACUUGCUCAUGUAGUUUCUUGGUAUGACUUCUUGUAAGUGGCCCUUGAAUUGUAUCUUUUAGGUUGGAUGGUGGAUGAUUGACAUGAGAAAGAUCAUGCAUGGUUGGGAUGUCCACAUCAAAUUUGUAAUUCAAAUUCUAUUUAGAAUUUGAGGUUACACUUUAAAGCAAAGUUGUAGAGGAUUUUAUUUGGAACAUUUUCUCUUUUUACCCCAAGCUCUGAAAAUUUUGCAAGGCCUUCAAAAUUUGUGUUUAAGCUUUUGGGAAAAGAAAAAUUUAAAAAAAAAGAAAGGGGGCGCUGUUCACUGGCGGGUCGGCGCCAUCCAACCGGCCCAGCCAGCGAAACGGCCCGGUCUCGCCCCUGCGCGCCGACUCCCUCCUCCCGCUCGCCGCGACGGCAGCGCCACGCGCACGCUCGAUCUUGUUAGGGUCGCGACGCCGCGUGGUCACCAUGCGCGCCCGCCCGCGCCAUGCUACCCCGCCUCGCCUGCCGGCACCACCAGCGCACUCGCCAUUCCUCUCCCUCUCCCGUGUGCUUGCCAUCGUCUCCUCUCCCACCUCCUUACCCUCGCUCCGAGCUUGCCAACGCUGCCGUUGCCAUUGGGGUUCCCGAGCUCCGCCACGGCCAUUCCCAUCCGAUGAGCUAUCCAUUCCUCGAUUCCUCCCUUCCUGAGCUCUGCUUCCACCUCACCGUCCUCGAACGCUCCUUCCCGUGCUUGGACGCGCCUGGUAAGAACCUCCUCCGCCCUCAUCAUCUUCUCCGGUGAGCGCGCCGCCACGGCUCACGCGGCCAAUACGCUACCGUGCUUUCCCGUCGUCUUUUCUAGUGCAUCGCGUCCGCCUUGACCUUGCCUAACUCCCUCUCACCUCCAAUCACGAUCUACUGGGCUGGAAGGACAGGUUCCUCGGCGAGCAGAGCCGCCGCUCCGCCAUGACUGGUAGUGAGCUCAUCCUAGCCCAGCUCCUGUAGAGUUAGGGCGUCCAUCGUGUUCGCCUUGAACCGUAGAUCAUCUCGGGGUACUUGGUUCGUCGAGGGAGGUCACGGGCGGUGAGCUCUGGCUCACCGUAGUUCGCCCCCUCCCAGCAGUGACUAACGGGUCGGACCCGUGGCCCACCUGUCUGACGCUCGCAUGGUGAGCAAGUGCACUGCACCGGGUGCACCUAGCCAAAGUCAGCCGGAUUUGAAUUUUGGUUUUCAGAAAAUGAUUUUCACAAAAUGAUUUAAAUCUUGUUUAAUUCAUAACUUGAGUUCCAGGGCUCCAAAAUUGGUGAAAUAAAUUUUGACAUGUUACAUAAAUCAAGAUCUACAGUUUGGUACCAUUUUAUGUCAGGUUUGAACAUUUUUUCUGUGUAGUUUUAUUUAAUACAUGUAAAUGCUAUUACUUAGAAAAUGAAUGGAAAAUAGAAUAUGCCUCAGAAAAAUAUGAUUCCUGUUUUACAAGCUUUGCAUGGCUGUGUAGUUGCCGGGAAAUAUAUAUAGCACAAUAGUUGCUGUAUAAAUUAAAUUAUGUUGAUAUAAAUGCUAUCUUGGCAGUGGUUUAUUAUUUUUAAUAAAUAAUCUUAUCAUGCAAUUAAUCUGGUAAUUUUUGUAUGUCUUUCUUACGUUGAGAAGUAAUUUAGAAAAAUAUGAAAUCUAUUGUUUGACACUUUGGCACUAGUACGGUAUUUUCCCUUAAUUAUAUUAAUAAACUUGUGAAUUUUGUGUGGGCCAUGUUUUUUGCCCAAAUGCUAUGAAAACUUAGUGGUAGACUUUACAUAUGAUUUGUGUCCUGCCGUCAUUUUUGUAGAAUUUAUUAAGAUACAGAAAUACAUGCUACUAUUGUAAGCCUAAUAAGUACUAAAUAAAUAAAUAAAACCUUGCUACGCAUGAAAUAGAUAAAAUGAAAUAUGUUUGGUGUAUCUUUGGAGCACUAGGAUAACUUGCUAGUUUAGUAUUAGCUUGUAGAAGAGAAUGCAAUAGAUAACUUGUUUAGGUUACGUGUUAUUGGAUGAUGUUGACUACCUAGUGGUGAUAAUUUCUUGUUUCAUUCAUCAUGACCCUUAUUUGUCAGAGAAGAAGUAUGCACUUACUCCAUAAAAGCAUAUCAUAAUCAUCUUGCCUUCACUUGUAUACUACUGCACUUCGAGCAUCCUGCAGCUCCACUUAUUUGUGCAUAUACAUCAUACAGGCUCGCAGAACGAGGUAGAACCCGACGAGCAGGAGAAACAGCAGGGACUUUUGGAAGAACACGAGCUAGAGGAAGAAUUGCAGGAGUGCCCUGACCACAGGCCUAGCAUCCUCGAGAGAGGCAAUCCCCAGAGCAUUCUAAGUCUCCCUAUUUCUCGCUAACUUACUUUGUUAUAUCAUGAUGGUUUGCUCUGUUGCAUUAAGUUAUAGGAGUUGUUUGAUACCAUUGAUGCAUAGUUAUUCCUUGAAUUUACCACCUGUCUACCUUCCUUGUCCUAAGUAGAUUAGGCCCGAAGUCUAUGCUUAGCUUGCCAAGCGCGUUAGAAGUCGGGUGAUUUCUGUCACCUGUGAGAUAUAGGUGGAUACCAAAAGGGUUAGCUAUUUGAUGCUAUCAUGGGAAGUAACCUAGUGUGGGAAAAGAAACUGAGACCAGGCAGGGUCUUAUGGUGGUGUUUGACCAUAAUAACCCCUGCUUGUGUCGAUUAAGUACUGAUGGUUGACGGCCCUCUUGUCAUGUUGAACGUAUGCCCCACACUUCGCUGGAAGGAUAAGUUAUUCCGACCGCGAAGCCUGAACACUAUCCGGGCCGGAAAUCAGCCUGAUGUACGCGCUGUAUUGGUGAUGGUUGGGGAGAACGAUGAGGGUGCGGCGCGCAACCUUAGUAUACCUUGGAUACCUCAGUCGCCGAACGGUCCUCGGGUACGGGCGGUGCUUGUUGAAAACGCGGAUUGGUCCUAGAUAGUGUAAUACGGUGACCUGUAGCUUACUUGAUCAAUGAGUGUGGUUUGUGUGGGGAAUAACUCACCAGCUGGUCAGAAAUCGUUCGAAUCGCCAUCGCUCCUAGAUAGUGAGCACUUGACUUGAGCUUUGUCCUCAUAGUAAGGACUAUGAAACACUCUAGUUAUGGUAUGUGACGAAUGGAAAUGCUAUAUGACAUGGUACUAUCAUGUUUAAACAACUAUUUGCAAUAGUAUAGGUGCCAACUUAGACGGUAGGUAAUGAUACUUAACUGGAGCCAAAUAAAUGCAAUGGGUUCUUAGGAACAUACUUCUAGAUGGUUAAAGCUUUUACGUAACAAGGGUUGAGCUAUCCCACUAUACAGCCUUCAUGAUCCUUGAGAGUCUUUCAUUUCUAGUUCAUGAUGGUUAAGUCUAGCUGAGUACAUUCUCGUACUCAGGGUUCUAUUCUCAUGUUGUUUUGCAGAUGGGUAGAAAUACUAUGGGUAUUGCAUCAAAUGUUUGUACCCAGCAAUGGGUGAUAAUACACCAAGGGCUAUGGUCACUAUUCUCAUAUAUAUUUUUUUAUUUUAUUUUAUUUAUUUUUUUAGAAAAUGAUUAAGCUAGUUCGUAGUCAACUCAGCAACCGUUUCCCUGGCAAUGGCGCCAAAAAGCUUGUUGACACUUGCUAACACCACUUGAAUACUAGGUUGUUAUCCCCAGCAUGGCACUAGAGUGUACUAUGGUAUUUAUACGCACACAGAUAAAUCCGCAAGCGCACGGAUACCGUUGUAGCUUUUACCUGGUUAAAGGUUUUAUCGUAUCCACAGGGAAACGGGAGAACUGAUCUACGCUCUAACUUAUCCUAGAUAGAUAGGUAGGUGUAAAUAGGAAAGAUGGUAGAAUUGAAUAAGUACAAUAUUAAAGGUAAGAUAACAAUGGGUGAUAAUAUGGGAAUAGAGUGUAGAGCAAUCUAGUAUAUGGGCGAUGGUAGGAGAAUAGAGAGGGUAACUAUGGUUUCUCUACUUCAAAGGGGUAUGUCUAUGUCUGGGACGAACCACGUGAUAAGAAUACACCACAAAGGAUGCUUAUCCAUAGGCCGAUAAACCCUACCCGUCCUGCUAAGAGGAGGCGGACUACAGGGGACCAACGUAACUGCCACCUAUGCGGCCUACCACACGAUCCGACUAGACAGGGGAUAUCCACAAGUAAUCUAGGUCUAAGCACCACACUUACACCUAUACUACAACUCUAACCUAUAUGGUCCUAGAGAUUAAAAGUACUCAAAAUAGUUGUGAACCAGAACAUACAUGGAUAGUAAUUGCAUAAUGAAAUAGAAGUAAAUUACCAGAGUCAUCCCAUGAGCAAGCUUGAUUAGAGCUUGAUCAGGGUGAAGUACAACCGGAGGAAGAACCGACAGGCUGGCCUCUCCUCCAAUCCUCCCUCGCUCUCCGUCUCGCUACUAUCUAGAUCUACUCUAGUUUAGAGAUGAGAGGAGAGCUCUUAUCUCCAAACCCUAGCUUUUCCUCUAUCUAUGUAGAGGAAAGGUUAUCCUUCGAGGGCACCUCUCAACUCUACAAUCAACUUGUUCUCCUCCAGGGGCCAGGGGUCUGCUUAUAUAGUCCCCUCAAGUGAAUCUGGGCCGUCGGAUAAAACCGACAUUGAUUGAAUGGUUAUCCUUGAACCUUUAGGUCGGUGGAGCGUAAUUCCCGAGACGGGUCCUGAUUGGACUCUAACUCUGGGCUGGCGCCCUAAGGGGGAGGGCGGGCGCCCUACCCCCAGGCCUGAUUGCCUUUCCGUUCAUUCCCGUGGCUUCUGGAGUCUUCUAGAUGAUAGAAAAUUGCCGACACAUUAAUAUCUCUAUGUAAACCCGACAUGUGGAAUUCCUGAUAACCCCCUACAGAAAUAGACAAACACCAAAACUCGUGGAAUUCUGUCAGAUAAAACUCUAAGUUUGGGUGUUGGUUGUAUUUGGAUCCUUUUCUUUAUUUAUUUGAUGAUUAUAUUUGGUACUUAAGGACCGUCAACAACUCCCCCAAGCUUACCUCUUGCUCGUCCCUGAGCAAGGAUGGACUCAAGAGUUUCUGCAGUGGUUUCAUGCCUUAAAAGUACACAUGCGUUCAAGCAAGAUCUCAUCUCUGAGUUAAAGUAAACUGUUAAGACUUAAAACUUACUCAUUUUACCUUUCACCAUGGGGCUUGCAACCGUCACUUGUGUCUCGAGCAGUUAAAAGAUAGAACGGUCAAGUCAAGCGCCAUGUCUCUUGUUCUUGAUCAACUAUAGUUCUGGAGUUUUUGCAGAUUUUCAAAUAAAACUCAGAGAUUCCUUGUAUGACUCUCUUAAUUCUCUCUUUUGUGGUAUUUCUAGAUCCUUACCAAGGCAGUGAUGGUAUUUGCCUUCUCUCAAAGCAUGUGAUAUUUUUGGUAUGAGGCAUAGUGACAUUGCCUUCUCUCUCACCCUACUCUAAUAAGGUUUUGAUAUCUGGAGCUCAUAGGUGGGAGACAGCUAAUACAUACUUACAAGACAUUUAUUGCAUAGUCAAACCAUGGAUCUAGAGAAACAAGUCAAUAUGUCAAAUCAAGAUGUGCAUGUGUGGCAGAUGAAUGGUGUAUGGUGAUGGUGGUGAUAAUGGUGAAAGCAAUGGUGAAAAUCUAAUUCUACUUUUGCUCUUUUGAGGAGAUACAUACCUUUCUUGCACUUUGAACCUUUUUGAGGGGAAUGAUAUACUCUAUAUUUUCUUUUUCUUUUCUCUCAGGUGGGUAUCUUGUACCCCUAAUUCUAUUGUCGGACACUUGUCCAUUUUUACCUCUCGUCUCACUUUUUCUUUUCUUCGAGGUUCCUGGCACUUGCCCCUUUUUAUUUCCUUGUAUAUUUUAUUUUUAUUUUUUUCGUUCAGAGCACUCACCCUCCUAGAAUAAUGUAGCAAGUGAUAGUACCCAAAACAUCUCGAGCAUUUAUUUCACGGGGAAUAACAGGGAUAGGAUAAUGUUUUUGGCUAUUCUCUCCUAGAUAUUUGUAGAAUCAUUUUAGGUGAAUCUGGAGAUGGAAUUAGUGGAUGUAUAUGGAUGCGUACUUCCAGAGUAGAAGUAGCAUGUAUGAGUGAACGUGCAAGUGAAUCUUGAUUUUAACCGCAUGACAAGCUCCUAAUGGUCUACACAGCUUGACCAUACUCAAUGCUCAUAAGUAGUAAAAAGUAAAUGUAUGGUUCAUAGUCUAAUAAGCAUGUAUAUGUGGCUGUGGUAGCAUUUUAAACUCUCAUCAUACAGGAACUCAUCAUGCAACAUUUUAAAGAUUUUCAAAGAUAAAACUCUCCAGAAUUCUAGCAUCUCUAGGGACAGAUAAACAACAGAUCAACCUUCCCAUAUCAUAUCCGUUAACGACAUAGACUUUUGAUCAGGUACUCUUCCCACAAGUUCAGGUUUAGAGCAAGCUUUAAAUUAUAACAAUUAUGCCUAAACUUGAGAGAGAGCUCAAUUUUGAGAACUAGUCAUGGCAGAGCAACUAUUCAUCAUUUCCAUGUUAGAGCUUAUCAUGAGGAUUCAUAGCAAACUUUAUUUAUUUAUUUAGCAAACUAAGCAAAGAUAUAUAUAUAUAUAUAAGCAUAAAAUCUUUAUUUGAGUUUUUAUGAUUAUGCAUUUUUUUAUUAUUUGAGUAAAGUAUAAACGCGAGUAGAAACACUUAGCUGGAUAAAUGGGGGUGCUCUCCCCCAAGCUGGAUUUUGACGUAAUUUCUUCUGAUGUAGCUAGCAGGUGGCGGAGGUGUAUUUGAAUGUCGGCAGUACCCUGACAGCGAUUAGGAUGUCCUCCGUCUGCUAGUCUUCUUUGAUCCUUGAAUUUUGUGAAGCUCAAAUAGACAACAAAGCUUUGUGGAACUGGUUAAGUGUUAGCAUAAAAUCUCUUUGCCUUUAUCAUGUUGAGCUUCCUCUAAUAAAUAUUACUCUCUUCGGUAGGAUCAUAAAUUUAUUUUUAUAUUUUCAUUUCUAUAGGACAAGAAUAUAUUUAUGCACAGUGAAUGUACUUAUGGGUUUUAUGCCACGAGCAUAGUCACAUGGGGCUUACUAUUUUUAACAUUUUUAUUUUCUUUUCAAGAUAGCAUGAUUAACUAACAAGCCAUUUAAGGAUAGUAAAUAAUUAAAGGGGAAAGGGAAUGCAGAAAGGAUAAAUAUGGAUAAUUACCGAUUUUACCUUUCGGCGAAGGUUCAAUGUUUUAAAUCUUCUGAAAAAGACUUCUCACCUUGUUCAUUCUUUAGGUACGUCAUUUGAUUCAGGUGUGGAUCUUGACGUCUACACCAUCUUGAUAUGGUGUCACCCAUGUUCUUCGUUUGCCCAGUAGUUCGAAGUGCGGCGUUGGCAGUAUCUUGCUCAGUGUGUUUGUGCUCGUAGAUCCAGGUCCUUCACUUGGUAGAGUCUGGGAGUUGAAAAAUCCUCCAUGUUUCUCAAAAUAUGUCCUGCUCAUAGAGGCAAGGUAGAGAUCAAGUGCAUGGGUCCUGUUGGUGGAAAACACCAACAGAACCAAAAGUAUAUUUAUUCUUCUCUAUCCUCAAGCAUACGGAGCAAGACAAAGUUAAUGGGUGAUAAGUUCAUGAGUGUAGCACUUAUAACAUUUGUUAGAUCAGAUCGCUCAACCUUAUGGAAAGAUAAUCUAUCUAUGUAUAUGUAUUUUUCUUUAUAUCUCUCAAAGAUUGAAUGUGUAACAUUUUAGCUCAUAUGAUCAGGAGUUUGGGAUCAUGGAGGUAGUACUAGGAACAAAGAUUAAAGGAAUAAACAUGUUGAAUCAGUUGGGUUGGUUAAUUUGGAGUUAUAAAUCAUACAUGUUUGUCUCUUUAUGUGAACUCUAGAACCAAGGAGAAGCUU